rfam:Gossypium raimondii Chr04_contig_876, whole genome shotgun sequence.
AUCUCGUGGUGAGGGCAUUUACGUAGUAGCUCUUUGAAUCUUUUCCAUGCCUCGUAUAGGGACUCAUAAUCUAUUUGUUGGAAAGUGGUGGUUUCAUUCCACAACUU